rnacentral:rRNA from 1 species
UAGUUCGUGGAGUGAUCUGUCUGCUUAAUUGCGUUUCAAAUUUUUAACCGAGGACCGGGUUUUGGUUUGGCUAGUGGUCCUACGAUGACUGUGAACUGUCAUGUCUUCGGAUGUACGACUAUCGGUCUAGGAUCACAUGACUUGCCCCUGGGACUCUUUUGAACGCAACGGACGUGAUUGCAACCCCUUGUUGAGAUUAGAGAUAGUCUCGAUAUUCACUGGCCAAACUGGCUGCUUUAUGCAGUCUUGUUGAAUGGUGGAUAAACUCGGGGGACUGCUGACUAUAACCAUUUCUCAAAACAGAGGAAGGUUGCGGCAAUAACAGGUCUGUGAUGCCCUCAGAUGUCCCGGGCUGCACACGUGCUACAAUGAGUGGCGCAAUGUGCUAAUGUUUUAAGGGAUAAGCGUGCGGCCAGUAGAACGUCGGCAAUUGCCCUGGCGUCCACUACCGCACGAUUAUCAGCCUUCCCUUAACAGGGCGGGCAACCUUUUCAAAAUACCGGUUUGAUGUUAAAGUAUAGAGUCGUUUUUUUUGGAUGGUGGUUUACGAACCAAUACCAUCCGCAACUGCUCGCGAGUUUGUGGUUCUGGUGACUCAUGG